CUCGUAGGCGGCCAACUAAGUCAGACGUGAAAUCCCUCGGCUUAACCGGGGAACUGCGUCUGAUACUGGAUGGCUUGAGGGUAGGAGAGGGAUGCGGAAUUCCAGGUGUAGCGGUGAAAUGCGUAGAUAUCUGGAGGAACACCGGUGGCGAAGGCGGCAUCCUGGACUACUACUGACGCUGAGGAGCGAAAGCCAGGGAGCAAACG
rnacentral:rRNA from 1 species